rnacentral:lncRNA from 1 species
UAUAUAUAUAUCAAUUUUUACCUUCGGACCAUUCCGGAGCUCCUUGUGACGUCCGGGAUCUCAUCCGGUACUCCGAAGAACUCUCGAUUACCAAUACCUAUAACUCAACUAUACCGAAAUGUCAUCGAACCUUAAGUGUGCAGACCAUGCGGGUUCGAGAACUAUGUAGACAUGACCUGAGACACAGUCCGAUCAAUAUCCAAUAGCGAGACCUGGAUGCCCAUAUUGGAUCCUACAUAUUCUAGAUAAUAUUAUCGGUUGAACCUCUAUGUCAAGGAUUCAUAAAAUCCCAUAUACCAUUCCCUUUGUCCUUCGGUAUGUUAUUUUCCCGAGAUUCGAUCGUCGGUAUCUCAAUAUCUAUUUCAAUCUGUUACCGGCAAGUCUCUUUACUCGUUUCGUAAUACAAGAUCCCCUGGCUAACUCUUUAGUCACAUUGCUUGCAAGGCUUGUUUGUCAUGUUGUAUUACCGAGUGGACCCCGUGAUACCUCUCCGUCACAGGGAGUGACAAAUCCCAGUCUUGAUCCAUGCUAACUCAACCGAACACCUUCAGAGAUACGUAUAGAGCACCUUUAUAGUCACCCAGUUACGUUACGACGUUUGAUACACACAAGGCAUUCCUCCGGUGUCAGUGAGUUACAUGAUCUCACGGUCAUAAGAAUGUAUACUUGACAUACAGAAAACAAUAGCAACAAAAUGACACGAUCACAUGCUACGUUUAUAGUUUGGUCUUGUCCAUCACAUCAUUCUCCUAAUGAUGUGAUCCCGUUAUCAAGUGACAACAUUUGUCUAUGGCCAGGUGUCGGGGGGAUAACCUCGGGGUAGGCU